UACAGAGGUCCCAAGCGUUGUUCGGAUUCACUGGGCGUAAAGGGUGCGUAGGCGGUUGGGUAAGUCUGAUGUGAAAUCUCACAGCUUAACUGUGAAACUGCAUUGGAUACCAUCCGGCUAGAGGAAUGGAGGGGAGACUGGAAUACUUGGUGUAGCAGUGAAAUGCGUAGAUAUCAAGUGGAACACCAGUGGCGAAGGCGAGUCUCUGGACAUUUCCUGACGCUGAGGCACGAAAGCCAGGGGAGCAAACGGG
rnacentral:rRNA from 1 species